UACAGAGGGUGCGAGCGUUGUCCGGAAUCACUGGGCGUAAAGCGCGCGUAGGCGGGUUGGCAAGUCUGCUGUGAAAGCCCGGAGCUUAACUCCGGAGGGUCGGUGGAUACUGCCAAUCUUGAAGGGACUAGGGGGAGAUGGAAUUACCGGUGUAGCGGUGAAAUGCGUAGAGAUCGGUAGGAACACCAGUGGCGAAGGCGGUCUCCUGGGGUUAUCUUGACGCUGAGGCGCGAAAGCUGGGGGAGCGAACGGG
rnacentral:rRNA from 1 species